rnacentral:lncRNA from 1 species
GAAUUUUUGUGGAAUUUAUUGAGCUGUUUUGAUAUUGAUUUGAUUGUGAUCAUUCUGUUUGGUCUUUUGAGGUUGCAAAUUGCAUGUUUUGUGCCUUUUCUUUCAUGAAAUGAUGAUAAUGAAUGAUAUGAGCAUGGGACCAAUGGGAUUUGUUUCUAAUUUGUUUGAUUGUGAUUUUGAUUAAUUUUCACUUGCUGUUUUGGAUUUUUCAUCUCCUUUGGACCCUAGGCUUGUCCUAGUGGUCUUGUUUCUCACUUUUGAAUUGUGUUUCAGGUUGAGAUGCAAAUGCUUUAAGGAGAAAAAUGCAAGUUGAUUAAAUUGAGUUUGGUUGCUUGUUGUGAACUAACUUGUGUGUUUUGUAGGAUGCUUGGCUCACUUGAGUUGAUUGUGCUUUGCACAUUGCAUUGUUUGAUUGUACAUUGACUGUUGAUUCUUAUCUUGUCUGUUUUGACUGUGUGAUUG